AUGAACGCUGGCGGCGUGCCUAAUCCAUGCAAGUCGAGCGAACAGACGAGGAGCUUGCUCCUCUGACGUUAGCGGCGGACGGGUGAGUAACACGUGGAUAACCUACCUAUAAGACUGGGAUAACUUCGGGAAACCGGAGCUAAUACCGGAUAAUAUAUUGAACCGCAUGGUUCAAUAGUGAAAGACGGUUUUGCUGUCACUUAUAGAUGGAUCCGCGCCGCAUUAGCUAGUUGGUGAGGUAACGGCUUACCAAGGCAACGAUGCGUAGCCGACCUGAGAGGGUGAUCGGCCACACUGGAACUGAGACACGGUCCAGACUCCUACGGGAGGCAGCAGUAGGGAAUCUUCCGCAAUGGGCGAAAGCCUGACGGAGCAACGCCGCGUGAGUGAUGAAGGUCUUCGGAUCGUAAAACUCUGUUAUUAGGGAAGAACAAAUGUGUAAGUAACUAUGCACGUCUUGACGGUACCUAAUCAGAAAGCCACGGCUAACUACGUG
rnacentral:rRNA from 1 species